GAUCAGUGGCUCAGGACGAGCGCUGGCGGCGCGCCUAACACAUGCAAGUCGAACGAGCGAGAGAGAGUUUACUUUUUCGAGCGAGUGGCGAACGGGUGAGUAACGCGUGAGGAACCUGCCUCAAAGGAGGGGACAACAGUUAGGAAACGACUGCUAAUACCGCAUAAGCCCACGGCUCGGCAUCGAGCAGAGGGAAAAGGAGCAAUCCGCUUUGAGAUGGCCUCGCGUCCGAUUAGCUGGUUGGUGAGGUAACGGCCCACCAAGGCGACGAUCGGUAGCCGGACUGAGAGGUUGAACGGCCACAUUGGGACUGAGACACGGCCCAGACUCCUACGGGAGGCAGCAGUGGGGAAUAUUGCACGAUGGGGGAAACCCUGAUGCAGCGACGCCGCGUGGAGGAAGAAGGUCUUCGGAUUGUAAACUCCUGUUGUUGAGGAAGAUAAUGACGGUACUCAACAAGGAAGUGACGGCUAACUACGUG
rnacentral:rRNA from 1 species